rnacentral:misc_RNA from 1 species
GGUUCUGGUUGAAUGGGUAUCUUUCUAAACUUGAUUCAUCAGUUGGGCUAAAUGAUGUUAUUGCUAUUUUUGUUUUCCAUAAUCCAUAUUCAUUGAAGAACAAGAAAAUGAUUGCACAGAAAAAAAAUUUUUGUGCAGGUUGUGUUCAGUUACUUUCUGAGAUGUAUCAUCCUCCUUUGUAUUUUACUGCUAUCCUUUUCUUUUUUUUCUUUUGAAAGGGAGUGGGGGGAAAAUAGUGUUCAGUUUUUGUGGUCUAACAUUUUAUUUAGAAGUUUAGUAUUCAAUAAAAUGCAGUGUUGUCACGAGGGGCGAGGCGAAGUGUAGGCACCUCGCCUGGGAAGCCUCCGGGCGAGGCGACUUCAUCCAGGCACUGCCUGCCUAGGCGUUCAGGCGAGGCCCAAGCGAGGCGAGGCGAGAAAAGGCAAGAAAAAGCAAGAAUUUUUUUUUCGAAAAAAAAAAAAAUCUGAGAGAGAAAAGCUGAUCAGCUUUUCUUUUCACUUUUUGGCACCACAUGUGUCCCCAUGCAGUCAGCCACCUAAUUCCGAGAAAGUAAAAAGCUAGAAAAAGUUAAAAGUUGCCUUUUAGUUUUCCCAAGACUCUAAUCAGGUCAGUUCUUGUCCCAUUCUCCUUCUCCCAUGCUACUG